rnacentral:rRNA from 1 species
GUGAACGCUGGCGGUAGGCCUAACACAUGCAAGUCGAACGGCAGCACCGUAAGAGCUUGCUCUUACGGGUGGCGAGUGGCGGACGGGUGAGGAAUACAUCGGAAUCUACUUUUUCGUGGGGGAUAACGUAGGGAAACUUACGCUAAUACCGCAUACGACCUACGGGUGAAAGCAGGGGAUCUUCGGACCUUGCGCGAUUGAAUGAGCCGAUGUCGGAUUAGCUAGUUGGCGGGGUAAAGGCCCACCAAGGUGACGAUCCGUAGCUGGUCUGAGAGGAUGAUCAGCCACACUGGAACUGAGACACGGUCCAGACUCCUACGGGAGGCAGCAGUGGGGAAUAUUGGACAAUGGGCGCAAGCCUGAUCCAGCCAUACCGCGUGGGUGAAGAAGGCCUUCGGGUUGUAAAGCCCUUUUGUUGGGAAAGAAAAGCAGCAGGUUAAUACCCCGCUGUUCUGACGGUACCCAAAGAAUAAGCACCGGCUAACUUCGUG